CCGUCUGCCGCACGCAGCAGACUGCUUGCGAUUUCCCAGCAGUUUGAUUCCGGACGGGCCGGCUUUCGUGAGUCGCCCUGGCUCCGCGAGUUUAGACAACGUUUGCAAACGUGCGGUUCUGUGUCAUGACAGUCGGAGCACAGUUUGUACCUCCCAUCGACACCUCUUACAGACGACGCUGAUUAUCACAGGGAUUUGUUGUGCAGUACUUCAGAGAGAGAGUGUGUGUGGUGUGUGUGCGCGCUCGUGCCAGGUACUUCGUGACGGUACCAUGACGGUAGUUCUUGUGCGGUGGUUGUGGUCAGGUGUUUGUGUGGUUCUGUGAAAAGCAGCGACUUGAACGGACAGAUCGACACCCCCACAACCAGCCACCAAGUCAACGUCGAGCAAGCGAGUUGAAGACGACAGGGGAAGCGGGAGAAAUCGUGCAAAAUACA